CUAAUAUUGUCCUUUUUAUUUUAAAGGUUGUUAAAGGAGAUGGGCUGGCAGGAAGAGAGUGAAAAUGAUGAAACAUGUGCUCCACUAACAGAGGAUGAGAUGAGGGAAUUCCAGGCCAUUAGUGAACAGUUACAAAAAAACGGCCUUCGGAAAAACGGCAUUUUGAAAAAUGGCCUUAUCUGUGAUUUUAAAUUUAGCCCCUGGAAAAAUAGCACUUUCCAACCUGCUCUGGAGAAUGAUGAUUCUGAGACAAGCAGCAGUGAUACAUCAGAUGAUGAUGAUGUGUGAAGAUUUCUGUAACAUCUGUAGAUGCUCGUUUUGUUCUCAUGAAAAUAUGGGGAUGUAUUGUUUAAAAACCAUCUUUAUGUAGUAACAUGCCUCAUUAGAGGAAGAUUGAUGGGACUUCUCUCUGAAGAAAGCAAGGAACAUUGUGUUGGGUGUGUCGAACAUUGCUAUAAUUUCUUUGUAAACAAAUGUUUUAGAAUGAGGACUUGGGUUGACCCAGCAUUGACUUUCUUCCUCACUGCAGCAUUUCUGACUAGCAGUGUGACAAUGUAACAAAUCAGACUUUCUCAAUUAAUAAUAAAAACAAAAAGAAUUGCAAUAUCUUGCAAAGCUUCUGUCUUAGUGUCCAAGUAUAGACUUGGGAAAAAAAAGGGCAGCUUAACACAGUUUUGCUUGUCAUUUCUUUCUUACAAUGGAAAUCCUCAAAUCCACUUUGUAUGCAAAAAGAGCAAUAUAGAGUGCUGUCUAAAAUGAGCGAAGUACACUAAAACUCUUUUCCUUAAUUGAACUGUUCUACUUCUUCCACACAUGAUUGUUCUUUAGCUAUUGUAGUGUAGUCAUUGUUAUUAAUGGCAAAAAGACCUGAUGUUACGGUUCCAAAUUCCUAGAAGUAACCUUUAAAUUGAAAGCUUUAUGGGUUAUUGCAAGACCCAAUAUGCCACAGUGAACACAUUCUUGUGGGAAAUAAGUACUUUGAAUUUACUAUUCACCGGCAGAAAAAUAAUUAAACUGACUGGAUUUGUCCACUACAUGGAAAAUAAACUGAUUUACAGAGUAUUGUCUCAGUGCAUAGCAUCAAGGGUAUUGUUUUUAAAUCUAGUAAGUUUUGUUUGCAUUUAUAUUAAAUGUACUCUAGCAGGAGUCAUUGCAUUUCAUAAUGACAUAAAGAUAUUUUUGUCACCAGCUCUUGCUUUGUAGCAGCAGACGUAUAUCUAUGCAAUAAGCAUUUGUUUUGAUUAUAUGUUUUCCACAAGGUUGUGCAAACUAUGUAGCAUUAAUCCAUGAGCACAACUGCUCUCAGUGAUGUCACAUACACUUAUAGUACAGCUUCUAUAGAUAUUCUUCUUCAAGAUAUUUUUGAAUUGCAAUACUUUUAAUAGUAAGUAAUUCACAAUUUUAAACUAAAGCAAAAAUAUUUAUCAAGAUGAGCUUUUGUCCAUGUUUAACUUUUUUAGGAAAAACCUUUUUUAAUAAGGUGACAUCUAACAAUUUUGGGCCAAAGAUGUAGUGUGUUUUUCUUUUUCCUUUUUAUUAGUUUAAAUAAGGGGGGUUAUUCAAUACAUCUUUUUUUUUUCUUUGAACAAACGUUCAAAUGUUGGUAUAGUUUAUUUUGGCACAAUGUUUUGAAAUAUGCCAUUUUGUUGUCUAAAUUUUAGAGGAUAAAAAUGUUUGGUUUUUUUGAAGAGAAAACUGCUGUAUCAGUAAUGAAGUCUUUCUACUUGUAUGCCUUAAACAUGUGUGAAAUAAUUGCCUGAGGUGACUUGGAAAUUAAACUGAUAUUCACAUUGUAAAGAAAA